rnacentral:rRNA from 1 species
UACGAAGGGGGCUAGCGUUGCUCGGAAUCACUGGGCGUAAAGCGCACGUAGGCGGCUUUUCUAAGUCAGGGGUGAAAUCCUGGAGCUCAACUCCAGAACUGCCUUUGAUACUGGGAAGCUCGAGUCCGGAAGAGGUGAGUGGAACUCCGAGUGUAGAGGUGAAAUUCGUAGAUAUUCGGAAGAACACCAGUGGCGAAGGCGGCUCACUGGUCCGGUACUGACGCUGAGGUGCGAAAGCGUGGGGAGCAAACAGGG